GGGCCCGUGGGGUAGUUUGGUACCCUUGUGGCUUCGGGAGCCAUUGACUCGAGUUCAAAUCUCGACGGGCCCA
rnacentral:tRNA from 1 species